GGCUGGCUCAGUUGGUGGAGCAUGUGACUCCUGAUCUUGGGGUUGUGGGUUUGAGCCCCACAUUGGCUA
rnacentral:tRNA from 1 species